AUGAGGAAAAAUUGGAGGAAGUAGUAGAUCAAGAAGGAGGUUCGUCGUUGCCGAAAUCGAAUCGAAGAAUUUGCGCUCGUCUACAAAUCUUCGCAAGAAUUUUUAGAGAUCGCAUCUCGAAAUACAAAGAUGAUCAUCUAGAAUUGAAUUCGUGCAAAGAAUAACUUCUGCAAGGAAAACAAAAGCAGGAUCGAAGAAGAAGAAGAAAAUUCUGACAACAAUGAAAACCAAGGACGUGGUAAAGGAAGGAGAGGACCCGGGCGUGGAAGGAGAGGACGUGCUACUAUAUUUUUGAAAGAGUUAAUAGUAACUAUAGAAUAGAAAGAGUUACUAUAUGAUAUAGAAGAGUAACUAUUUCUGUACGAUAAAUAUUUACUAUAUGAUAUAAAGCAGUCAAUAUCUUUGUGUAUA